CGGCUUACCAAGGCAACGAUGCAUAGCCGACCUGAGAGGGUGAUCGGCCACACUGGAACUGAGACACGGUCCAGACUCCUACGGGAGGCAGCAGUAGGGAAUCUUCCGCAAUGGGCGAAAGCCUGACGGAGCAACGCCGCGUGAGUGAUGAAGGUCUUCGGAUCGUAAAACUCUGUUAUUAGGGAAGAACAUAUGUGUAAGUAACUGUGCACAUCUUGACGGUACCUAAUCAGAAAGCCACGGCUAACUACGUGCCAGCAGCCGCGGUAAUACGUAGGUGGCAAGCGUUAUCCGGAAUUAUUGGGCGUAAAGCGCGCGUAGGCGGUUUUUUAAGUCUGAUGUGAAAGCCCACGGCUCAACCGUGGAGGGUCAUUGGAAACUGGAAAACUUGAGUGCAGAAGAGGAAAGUGGAAUUCCAUGUGUAGCGGUGAAAUGCGCAGAGAUAUGGAGGAACACCAGUGGCGAAGGCGACUUUCUGGUCUGUAACUGACGCUGAUGUGCGAAAGCGUGGGGAUCAAACAGGAUUAGAUACCCUGGUAGUCCACGCCGUAAACGAUGAGUGCUAAGUGUUAGGGGGUUUCCGCCCCUUAGUGCUGCAGCUAACGCAUUAAGCA
rnacentral:rRNA from 1 species